UACGUAGGGUCCGAGCGUUGUCCGGAAUUAUUGGGCGUAAAGGGCUCGUAGGCGGUUUGUCGCGUCGGGAGUGAAAACACGGGGCUUAACCCCGUGCCUGCUUCCGAUACGGGCAGACUAGAGGUAUGCAGGGGAGAACGGAAUUCCCGGUGUAGUGGUGGAAUGCGUAGAUAUCGGGAGGAACACCAGUGGCGAAAGCGGCUCUCUGGUUCAAUACUGACACUGAGAUGCGAAAGCGUGGGGAGCGA
rnacentral:rRNA from 1 species